CCUACGGGUGGCAGCAGUGAGGAAUAUUGGUCAAUGGGCGCUAGCCUGAACCAGCCACGUAGCGUGAAGGAUGACUGCCCUAUGGGUUGUAAACUUCUUUUAUAUGGGAAUAAAGUACAGUAUGUGUACUACUUUCCCUGUACCUUAUGAAUAAGGAUCGGCUAACUCCGUGCCAGCAGCCGCGGUAAUACGGAGGAUCCGAGCGUUAUCCGGAUUUAUUGGGUUUAAAGGGAGCGUAGGCGGGUUGUUAAGUCAGUUGUGAAAGUUUGCGGCUCAACCGUAAAAUUGCAGUUGAUACUGGCAGCCGUGAGUACAGUAGAGGUAGGCGGAAUUCGGGGGGUAGCGGUGAAAGGCUUAGAUA
rnacentral:rRNA from 1 species